rnacentral:lncRNA from 1 species
GUUAUGCAUAAUAUCACAAACGAGCUAAAAAUUGACAUUAGAAUAUGUUUACGGUAGUGUGUAUUUGGUUUUAGCACAAGUUAACAUGCUACAAAUUUUGGCCAAGCCAAUAUUUUUGGCCAAAGUUUUAGUUUUCUAUGCCUUAUUGCCAAUGGUAGCGAAAAAGAAAAAAGAAAGAAAAACAAACUAGAGUUGCAAAAGAGCAUGAACAUGCUAACUUUUAGUAAUCAUUCAAGUAGGAUCCAAAAUUAUAGUCACAACUAUAACUUUUUAGUCUCUCUGAUUCAAAGGACAGAUAAAGUAAAGGAAUAAGAAAAACAGAGAGUCACAGUGCAUACACCUACAAAGUGAGCAUUUUUUUUAACACUAGACUACCACAAAUUUAUGCAAAUUCUGCACAGCAGCAACGGGCUAUCCUGCCCUUUGCGAAAAAACGACCGCCUGUCACGAAGUCACGAAGAUUCGGUUGCGGG